UGUGCAGUAUAAUUUUCUUUCCAUUUUCUACUUUUGCCUGUGUGUUUUUAUCUAUUGAGAAAAAAACAUUUCAUUAUUCCAUUGCCUUUUAGGUUAUUGGGGCAGUUUUAAACUCUGUUGGAAUUGGGAGCCAGAUUGGUGGCCAACAUCCUGGCGUGCAGGUUACUGCUCCCACUUUUGCUUCACAAGGAAAUGAAGCAGCAGAAGGCAUCCAAAAUAAUCCUGGUGCUCGAAAUCAGGCUGGAAAUCAACUGCCUGGUCAAUCUUUACCUCAAGCCAUGCACAUACCGCUUGGCGCAACAAUUCCAGUUCCUUCACUUAACUUGCCCAUACCUGAUUCUUUUCACACACUGGUUGAAUUUAUAAAGCGCAUGGAGCUUGUGUUAUCACAGAAUGGUAAUUUUC